GCGGGCGUGGCGGAACUGGCAGACGCGCGGGCCUUAGGAGCCCGUUCCGGAAGGAGUGAGGGUUCGAGUCCCUCCGCCCGCACGA
rnacentral:tRNA from 1 species